rnacentral:sRNA from 1 species
UAAGCCCUUGUUCUAUAGAUUUGUCUCUAACAUGUUGGGUCUCGGGGGGCUUCCUCUAGAGACUUGGAUGUAAGGGGCUUUACGCAUUCGCAUAACUUAUGAAGUGUGGAUGACUCUAGGAGGGGUCUGAGAAUGUGCUGUGCCAGCCAGGCUGAUAAUUGUUUAAUUGUUAGCUUGGACUUGUACACAGUCUCAUCAGUCUUCAGCUUGGGUCAUUGAUAUUCUGUAAGUCAAAACUUAUCGAUUCACUGUAGUAGGUUGCGGAGGACUUGAAAGUUCUCUCUGCAAUUGAGACACUUACCAGGCCAUCGCAAGUUGGCAGUGUACACUACUGAUUUUACGGUCGUGGGGGACUUGGGAGCUGGUGCUUGUGUCGCAUGAGGUAGAGUUGAUAUGGAUGGAUGGAAGAGAAGCAUAUGUAUGUCGUGGGGGACUUGGGGUAAGACGCCUUGCGGCAAGUAGAGUCAAACCAGUAGUGACUUCUUUUGGUCAUGGGGGACUUUGGUAAUGGUAGUGAGCCGGAAUAAGGGAUGGAUAAAUGUAGUAUGGAUGGUGACAGGGGGAGCAGCAGAGCGUACGCAGUGGGUAUGUAUAUAGUUGAAAAGGGAUGGGCAGUAGAAUUUUGAGGAAUUAAUGACCUAAGGGCGGUUCUAAUAGGCUUGUCGAGAAAAAAGUUAAGUUGAAUCAAGCUGGGUCAAGCAAAGUCUAGAAAAGAUUUAUUG